rnacentral:rRNA from 1 species
AUUGAACGCUAGCGGGAUGCCUUACACAUGCAAGUCGAACGGAGUGGCGAACGGGUGAGUAAUGUAUCGGAACGUGCCCAUUAGCGGGGGAUAACUACCCGAAAGCGUAGCUAAUACCGCAUACUAUUGUCACGGCCGAUAUCGGAUUAGCAAGUUGUUGGGGUAACGGGUCACCAAGGCGACGAUCCGUAGCUGGUUUGAGAGGACGACCAGCCAGACGUGAACGGAGACACGGCCCAGACUCCUACGGGAGGCAGCAGUGGGGAAUUUUGGACAAUGGGGGAAAGCCUGAUCCAGCCAUCCCGCGUGUGAGAUGAAGGCCUUCGGGUUGUAAAGCACUUUUGGCAGGAAAGCGGUACCUGCAGAAUAAGCACCGGCUAACUACGUGACAGCAGCCGCGGUAAUAC